rnacentral:rRNA from 1 species
CCUACGGGAUGCAGCAGUGGGGAAUAUUGCGCAAUGGGCGAAAGCCUGACGCAGCGACGCCGCGUGAGGGAUGAAGGUCUUCGGAUCGUAAACCUCUGUCAGCAGGGAAGAACGGUCACUGUGCUAAUCAACAGUGAAUUGACGGUACCUGAGUAAGAAGCCCCGGCUAACUACGUGCCAGCAGCCGCGGUAAUACGUAGGGGGCAAGCGUUAGCCGGAUUUACUGGGUGUAAAGGGAGCGUAGACGGCAGUGCAAGUCUGGAGUGAAAGGCGGGGGCUCAACCCCCGGACUGCUCUGGAAACUGUACGGCUGGAGUGCAGGAGAGGUAAGUGGAAUUCCUAGUGUAGCGGUGAAAUGCGUAGAUAUUAGGAGGAACACCAGUGGCGAAGGCGGCUUACUGGACUGUAACUGACGUUGAGGCUCGAAAGCGUGGGGAGCAAACAGGAUUAGAUACCCCAGUAGUC